rnacentral:rRNA from 1 species
UUCCGAACUGUUAUUAGUCCAGCCGACGAAUGGAUCAAGAGCUUGGUCUUAUGAAGUUAGCGGCGGAGGGAGAGUAACACGUGGGUAACCUGCCCAUAAGACUGGGAUAACUUCGGGAAACCGGGGCUAAUACCGGAUAACAUUUUGAACCGCAUGGUUCGAAAUUGAAAGGCGGCUUCGGCUGUCACCCCUGGAUGGACCCGCGUCGCAUUAGCUAGUUGGUGAGGUAACGGCUCACCAAGGCAACGAUGCGUAGCCGACCUGAGAGGGUGAUCGGCCACACUGGGACUGAGACACGGCCCAGACUCCUACGGGAGGCAGCUGUAGGGAAUCUUCCGCAAUGGACGAAAGUCUGACGGAGCAACGCCGCGUGAGUGAUGAAGGCUUUCGGGUCGUAAAACUCUGUUGUUGGGAAGAACAAGUGCUUUGUUGAAUAAGCUGGCACCUUGACGGUACCUAACCAGAAAGCCACGGCUAACUACGUGUCAUCUGCCUCGGUAAUACGUAUGUGGCAAGCGUUAUCCCGGAAUUAUUGGGCGUAAAGCGCGCGCAGGUGGUUCUUAAGUCUGAUGUGAAAAGCCCACGGCUCACCGUGGAGGGUCAUUGGAAACUGGGAGACUUUAUUGCACAAGAGGAAAGUGGAUUUCCAUGUGUAGCGGCGAAAUGCUUAGAGAUAUGGAGGAACACCCAGUGGCG